GCUCAACCGAAGAAGUGCAUCGGAAACUGGGAAACUUGAGUGCAGAAGAGGACAGUGGAACUCCAUGUGUAGCGGUGAAAUGCGUAGAUAUAUGGAAGAACACCAGUGGCGAAGGCGGCUGUCUGGUCUGUAACUGACGCUGAGGCUCGAAAGUAUGGGUAGCAAACAGGAUUAGAUACCCUGGUAGUCCAUACCGUAAACGAUGAGUGCUAAGUGUUGGAGGGUUUCCGCCCUUCAGUGCUGCAGCUAACGCAUUAAGCAUUCCGCCUGGGGAGUACGGCCGCAAGGCUGAAACUCAAAGGAAUUGACGGGGGCCCGCACAAGCGGUGGAGCAUGUGGUUUAAUUCGAAGCUACGCGAAGAACCUUACCAGGUCUCGACAUACUAUGCAAAUCUAAGAGAUUAGACGUUCCCUUCGGGGACAUGGAUACAGGUGGUGCAUGGUUGUCGUCAGCUCGUGUCGUGAGAUGUUGGGUUAAGUCCCGCAACGAGCGCAACCCUUAUUAUCAGUUGCCAGCAUUAAGUUGGGCACUCUGGUGAGACUGCCGGUGACAAACCGGAGGAAGGUGGGGAUGACGUCAAAUCAUCAUGCCCCUUAUGACCUGGGCUACACACGUGCUACAAUGGAUGGUACAACG
rnacentral:rRNA from 1 species